CAACAUGGGGCACAUCCUAACAGGGUCCUGGUCCACCCCCAUGGCCACCAUGGGGAUGCAGGGCAGGUACUCCCACAUCAGCCCGUGGUCAGGGCCAACCCUGCAUCCCUGCCUGAGCCAGCAGUGAGAGCUGGUGGGACUCGGGUGGGAGGCUGGUCUUGCCCUGGUCACGCAAACAGGGCUCCUCACUGGGGGCCACAGAGGAAGGCAGUUACAGUUUAACUCGCUCAGCCCACAGAGCCUGCUGUCGGGAGCGCCUAAUGAUUAAAGGAGGAGGCAUGAACUCUGCCUGCUCUCCUCAGCCUUGCUACCGAGUUACAUGGAGCCAGGCAAGUCAGGACUUCACCCCAUCGCAGCCGCCAGUGAAUGGCUCAGUUCACUCCUUUGUUGGGGACUUCAGAGGAAGAGGAAAGAGGAGAGAGGAGGAGGUCUGCAGCCAUGGAUCACAGCAGGAGAGCUGUACCCUGAUCCACCCUCCACCCUGAGGAGCUCAAGAUCCAGAUAUCCCCUGUGGGCACCUGACAGGCUUCCCAGGGCUGCACUUUGGAGGACCACGAGGGUAGGGGCAAACUGGACAGAGGAUAACGUGUAACCAUUGAAUGUGAAGUGGUAGCCUGCCAUGUAGCUCCAUUUGACCUCUGGAGCAGCACCCCCCCCAGCCAGUAGCACCAUCCAGAUGGGGGGCAUCACUCACAGGAACCCUUCCAAUGCAUCAUUGAGGUGAGGAAAGGCAAAUGCACAACAUAGAGUUGCUGCAUUGCCCUUUGUGCCCCAUGCCGACAGAGGGGAAAAGCAUGUUUGCAGAUGUCCAUCUCCAAAGGCAACAGUUUCUGCCCAUUCCAUGGACCCCCUGUCUGGCUCCUGUCUCUUCUCAGCACGGUGUCCCUGGGUCCAGGAUGGAUUUUACUUGGUGAUGUCAGGCGUGAUGAAUCCUGGUUUAAUUGACCGUGGGCGAAAUCGUGCUUCGAUGGUUAAUGUUAUACUCGGGGCUGGGAAAACUACUGCAAGAUCAUAGCAAUUAGAGCUGGAAAUGAUUCAA